rnacentral:rRNA from 1 species
GAUGAACGCUGGCGGCGUGCCUAAUACAUGCAAGUCGAGCGAACAGACGAGGAGCUUGCUCCUCUGACGUUAGCGGCGGACGGGUGAGUAACACGUGGAUAACCUACCUAUAAGACUGGGAUAACUUCGGGAAACCGGAGCUAAUACCGGAUAAUAUAUUGAACCGCAUGGUUCAAUAGUGAAAGACGGUUUUGCUGUCACUUAUAGAUGGAUCCGCGCCGCAUUAGCUAGUUGGUAAGGUAACGGCUUACCAAGGCAACGAUGUGUAGCCGACCUGAGAGGGUGAUCGGCCACACUGGAACUGAGACACGGCCCAGACUCCUACGGGAGGCAGCAGUAGGGAAUCUUCCGCAAUGGGCGAAAGCUUGACGGAGCAACGCCGCGUGAGUGAUGAAGGUCUUCGGAUCGUAAAACUCUGUUAUUAGGGAAGAACAAAUGUGUAAGUAACUAUGCACGUCUUGACGGUACCUAAUCAGAAAGCCACGGCUAACUACGUG